rnacentral:rRNA from 1 species
GAUGAACGCUGGCGGCGUGCCUAAUACAUGCAAGUCGAGCGAACAGACGAGGAGCUUGCUCCUCUGACGUUAGCGGCGGACGGGUGAGUAACACGUGGAUAACCUACCUAUAAGACUGGGAUAACUUCGGGAAACCGGAGCUAAUACCGGAUAAUAUAUUGAACCGCAUGGUUCAAUAGUGAAAGACGGUUUUGCUGUCACUUAUAGAUGGAUCCGCGCCGCAUUAGCUAGUUGGUAAGGUAACGGCUUACCAAGGCAACGAUGCGUAGCCGACCUGAGAGGGUGAUCGGCCACACUGGAACUGAGACACGGUCCAGACUCCUACGGGAGGCAGCAGUAGGGAAUCUUCCGCAAUGGGCGAAAGCGUGACGGAGCAACGCCGCGUGAGUGAUGAAGGUCUUCGGAUCGUAAAACUCUGUUAUUAGGGAAGAACAAAUGUGUAAGUAACUAGGCACGUCUUGACGGUACCUAAUCAGAAAGCCACGGCUAACUACGUG